rnacentral:rRNA from 1 species
AGCGUACACGGUGGAUGCCCUGGCAGUCAGAGGCGAUGAAGGACGUGCUAAUCUGCGAUAAGCGUCGGUAAGGUGAUAUGAACCGUUAUAACCGGCGAUUUCCGAAUGGGGAAACCCAGUGUGUUUCGACACACUAUCAUUAACUGAAUCCAUAGGUUAAUGAGGCGAACCGGGGGAACUGAAACAUCUAAGUACCCCGAGGAAAAGAAAUCAACCGAGAUUCCCCCAGUAGCGGCGAGCGAACGGGGAGCAGCCCAGAGCCUGAAUCAGUGUGUGUGUUAGUGGAAGCGUCUGGAAAGGCGCGCGAUACAGGGUGACAGCCCCGUACACAAAAAUGCACAUGCUGUGAGCUCGAUGAGUAGGGCGGGACACGUGGUAUCCUGUCUGAAUAUGGGGGGACCAUCCUCCAAGGCUAAAUACUCCUGACUGACCGAUAGUGAACCAGUACCGUGAGGGAAAGGCGAAAAGAACCCCGGCGAGGGGAGUGAAAAAGAACCUGAAACCGUGUACGUACAAGCAGUGGGAGCACGCUUAGGCGUGUGACUGCGUACCUUUUGUAUAAUGGGUCAGCGACUUAUAUUCUGUAGCAAGGUUAACCGAAUAGGGGAGCCGAAGGGAAACCGAGUCUUAACUGGGCGUUAAGUUGCAGGGUAUAGACCCGAAACCCGGUGAUCUAGCCAUGGGCAGGUUGAAGGUUGGGUAACACUAACUGGAGGACCGAACCGACUAAUGUUGAAAAAUUAGCGGAUGACUUGUGGCUGGGGGUGAAAGGCCAAUCAAACCGGGAGAUAGCUGGUUCUCCCCGAAAGCUAUUUAGGUAGCGCCUCGUGAAUUCAUCUCCGGGGGUAGAGCACUGUUUCGGCAAGGGGGUCAUCCCGACUUACCAACCCGAUGCAAACUGCGAAUACCGGAGAAUGUUAUCACGGGAGACACACGGCGGGUGCUAACGUCCGUCGUGAAGAGGGAAACAACCCAGACCGCCAGCUAAGGUCCCAAAGUCAUGGUUAAGUGGGAAACGAUGUGGGAAGGCCCAGACAGCCAGGAUGUUGGCUUAGAAGCAGCCAUCAUUUAAAGAAAGCGUAAUAGCUCACUGGUCGAGUCGGCCUGCGCGGAAGAUGUAACGGGGCUAAACCAUGCACCGAAGCUGCGGCAGCGACGCUGAUGCGUUGUUGGGUAGGGGAGCGUUCUGUAAGCCUGCGAAGGUGUGCUGUGAGGCAUGCUGGAGGUAUCAGAAGUGCGAAUGCUGACAUAAGUAACGAUAAAGCGGGUGAAAAGCCCGCUCGCCGGAAGACCAAGGGUUCCUGUCCAACGUUAAUCGGGGCAGGGUGAGUCGACCCCUAAGGCGAGGCCGAAAGGCGUAGUCGAUGGGAAACAGGUUAAUAUUCCUGUACUUGGUGUUACUGCGAAGGGGGGACGGAGAAGGCUAUGUUGGCCGGGCGACGGUUGUCCCGGUUUAAGCGUGUAGGCUGGUUUUCCAGGCAAAUCCGGAAAAUCAAGGCUGAGGCGUGAUGACGAGGCACUACGGUGCUGAAGCAACAAAUGCCCUGCUUCCAGGAAAAGCCUCUAAGCAUCAGGUAACAUCAAAUCGUACCCCAAACCGACACAGGUGGUCAGGUAGAGAAUACCAAGGCGCUUGAGAGAACUCGGGUGAAGGAACUAGGCAAAAUGGUGCCGUAACUUCGGGAGAAGGCACGCUGAUAUGUAGGUGAAGUCCCUCGCGGAUGGAGCUGAAAUCAGUCGAAGAUACCAGCUGGCUGCAACUGUUUAUUAAAAACACAGCACUGUGCAAACACGAAAGUGGACGUAUACGGUGUGACGCCUGCCCGGUGCCGGAAGGUUAAUUGAUGGGGUUAGCGCAAGCGAAGCUCUUGAUCGAAGCCCCGGUAAACGGCGGCCGUAACUAUAACGGUCCUAAGGUAGCGAAAUUCCUUGUCGGGUAAGUUCCGACCUGCACGAAUGGCGUAAUGAUGGCCAGGCUGUCUCCACCCGAGACUCAGUGAAAUUGAACUCGCUGUGAAGAUGCAGUGUACCCGCGGCAAGACGGAAAGACCCCGUGAACCUUUACUAUAGCUUGACACUGAACAUUGAGCCUUGAUGUGUAGGAUAGGUGGGAGGCUUUGAAGUGUGGACGCCAGUCUGCAUGGAGCCGACCUUGAAAUACCACCCUUUAAUGUUUGAUGUUCUAACGUGGACCCGUAAUCCGGGUUGCGGACAGUGUCUGGUGGGUAGUUUGACUGGGGCGGUCUCCUCCUAAAGAGUAACGGAGGAGCACGAAGGUUGGCUAAUCCUGGUCGGACAUCAGGAGGUUAGUGCAAUGGCAUAAGCCAGCUUGACUGCGAGCGUGACGGCGCGAGCAGGUGCGAAAGCAGGUCAUAGUGAUCCGGUGGUUCUGAAUGGAAGGGCCAUCGCUCAACGGAUAAAAGGUACUCCGGGGAUAACAGGCUGAUACCGCCCAAGAGUUCAUAUCGACGGCGGUGUUUGGCACCUCGAUGUCGGCUCAUCACAUCCUGGGGCUGAAGUAGGUCCCAAGGGUAUGGCUGUUCGCCAUUUAAAGUGGUACGCGAGCUGGGUUUAGAACGUCGUGAGACAGUUCGGUCCCUAUCUGCCGUGGGCGCUGGAGAACUGAGGGGGGCUGCUCCUAGUACGAGAGGACCGGAGUGGACGCAUCACUGGUGUUCGGGUUGUCAUGCCAAUGGCACUGCCCGGUAGCUAAAUGCGGAAGAGAUAAGUGCUGAAAGCAUCUAAGCACGAAACUUGCCCCGAGAUGAGUUCU